CCUCUAUUCCUCACUGAAGCUCGCUCGGUCUUCUCCCUCGCUCGGUCUUCUCACCAAGGAGUUCGCCUUCUUCUUCUCCGGCCGUCUCAGCCGCCGGUGAGGCUGCCUCCGGCCGAGGACGCCGUUGCUUUCUCAGUUUUCUCUCUCAGUUUCUCAAUUUGUGAAACAUCAAGAGAGCCCUAAUUUUCUCAUCUGAAAUCGAAAUCGCCACCGCCCUGCAACCUCCGGCGUCGUUGUCGCCUCAAGGCCGGCGUUGCUCCGCCUUAGCCUGGCAUCUCUCCCUCGCGUUCCUUCUUCCUCUCUCUGUAAUUCUGGAGUCGCGCUGCCGUUUGGUCUCUGUAAUUACGGCAAGAGAGCGAGCCCUUGCCUCUCUGUAAGAUCCCGUCUGAAUCCGGCGCCCUUUGUGGGAUCUGGUUUGCAAUUUGGUUUGCAAUUUCAGAUUUGGUUUGAACAUUUUUGUGGUUUGCGAUCUGGUUUGCAAUUUCAGAUCUGGUUUGCGGUUUGUAAGAUCCCCGUCUGAAUCCCUCGUCUGAAUCCAACACCGGCGUCGCAGUCACCAUCGCCGACGCCGUCUGCCAGGAAAGAAAGUGGGAUUUGAUUUCUUAAUUA
rnacentral:lncRNA from 1 species